rnacentral:rRNA from 1 species
UACGUAGGGUGCGAGCGUUAAUCGGAAUUACUGGGCGUAAAGCGUGCGCAGGCGGUGAUGUAAGACAGAUGUGAAAUCCCUGGGCUCAACCUGGGAACUGCAUUUGUGACUGCAUCGCUGGAGUACGGCAGAGGGGGAUGGAAUUCCGCGUGUAGCAGUGAAAUGCGUAGAUAUGCGGAGGAACACCGAUGGCGAAGGCAAUCCCCUGGGCCUGUACUGACGCUCAUGCACGAAAGCGUGGGGAGCAAACAGG